GGGGGUAUAGCUCAGCUGGGAGAGCAGCAGACUGAAGUGCCUUGGCGUUACGUCAUUUGAGUAUUCUGAAGGUCCCGCGUUCGAUCCGCGGUACCCCCA
rnacentral:tRNA from 1 species